GCUCAAUAUAAUAACUAUUGUAGCAUUGGCAUAUAAACCGAAACUGCUGUAUGCCUUCAGACCACUGCUUCUGAGUACUUUUUCUGGUGAAAAAAGCACUGACUUCUUUAUGAAAUUCUCUUGUGUUCUAUUGCAGGAAACAGUUAGACCUUAUUGGUCACUUGAGGUACUGCUAUCAUUAAUGAUCGAUGUGGUGAAGUUGUUUAUUUUUUCAUCUAGUACAACUUAGUAGCAAUUCAUGCAGUGAUUCUUUUUUCUUUAGCCAAACUGUAGGGUGUUCAUGUGCCUGGUAUAAUGAAAAGCAACACAAAUGUGGGUUUCUGAAGACUUCUGAAAGUGCUUGAGUUUUGAAGUUAAUCAGUGACUUUUCUUUCAGGACUGUGUAGCACCAACUCCAUCAUCUGCUUCCAGUGGAAGUAAAGUAGAGUCUUGCAGUGAAGAACCUUAUGCCCCCAUGCAUGAGUCAGUGUCUGAAAGUAUAUCUCCUGUAUCUGCAAAUGAUCUGUCUGGUUUGGAUGGGGAAAUCUGGGAGCCUGGUUGUUCAACUAUCAGUAUCUGUCAGAAGCUCCAAAAAGAAUUUUCUAAGAAAAUUGAGAGCCGCUCCAGGAAACUGGAUAAUUUUACUAAACAAUCGCUACGAGCUGCCCACGAGCAUUUGUCAGCCC
rnacentral:lncRNA from 14 species